rnacentral:rRNA from 1 species
UACAGAGGUCUCAAGCGUUGUUCGGAUUCAUUGGGCGUAAAGGGUGCGUAGGCGGUUUGUUAAGUCACUGGUGAAAGUUUUCGGCCCAACCGGAAAAUUGCCUGUGAUACUGGCGAACUUGAGUGCGUGAGGGGUGGGGGGAACGAGCAGUGUAGCGGUGAAAUGCGUAGAUAUUGCUCGGAAGGCCGGAGCCGAAGGGGCCCCACUGGUACGUAACUGACGCUGAGGCACGAAAGCGUGGGGAGCAAACAGG